CUCGAGUAUAUACAGUAAUAAUAAUAAAUACAGGAAAAUAAUACAUGUAAUAAUAAAUAGAGUAAAAUAAUAAAUGCAAUAAUAAUAAUAAUAAUAAUAAUAUCAGAGUGAAAUAAUAAAUGUAUUAAUAAUAAUAAAAAUAGAGUAAAAUAAAUGUAAUAGUAGCAACAAUAAUAGAGAAAAAUAAUAAAUGUACCAUAUAUUAUCAAGUAUAAGCUGACCCAAAUAUAAGCCAACCACGACCCUCACCCGUGUAUAAGUGAGAGGGGCUUUUUCAGUCUUAAAGAAAGGGCUGAAAAAACUAGGCUUAUACUCGAGUAUAUACAGUACCUAUCUUAACAAAUCAAACUCCUUUUCCCAAAGCAUGUCGGCCAAAAUCGAGUCAAACGGUGCAACCUUGCAAAGCUGGAGGAUAUAUCAACAAGACCCUUUGCCUACAGCAUGAAUGCUGCACCCCUUCGAAACCAGAUAUUAAGUUCCCAUGCUACACUCCAUUUGAAGACCGUCCUCAGAAGAUCCUGCGGUUUUUUGGUAUUGGCCUUGGAGGAGUGAUGCUGGUUGCGUGCUUUCCCUUUUGUUUCUAUAUCAUAGAGAAGAGCCCCUGUGCCAACCCUUUGCGGAGAAGAGACAGCAAAGAGGGGCUGGAAGACGAGAGCGAGAAGGAAAGCGGCGAGGAGAGCGGCAAGGAAAGCGACGAUAGCCAGUCUGUGAGUUUAAUUCAAGACACUGAGAAACGAAAGUAGGAAGAAGGCAACUAAGUCGGGUUGCCACGAGAUGCCCAGUUCUUCUGGAAUUGCGUCCCGGUUGCCAUGAACGCUGAACAUUUCCAUCCCGCCUUCCCCUUCCCCUGUGCUCUAAACCUCUUCCAUAUUAAAUAUAUAUUUGAAG
rnacentral:lncRNA from 11 species